AGUGAACGCUGGCGGUAGGCCUAACACAUGCAAGUCGAACGGCAGCACAGUAAGAGCUUGCUCUUACGGGUGGCGAGUGGCGGACGGGUGAGGAAUACAUCGGAAUCUACUUUUUCGUGGGGGAUAACGUAGGGAAACUUACGCUAAUACCGCAUACGACCUACGGGUGAAAGCAGGGGAUCUUCGGACCUUGCGCGAUUGAAUGAGCCGAUGUCGGAUUAGCUAGUUGGCGGGGUAAAGGCCCACCAAGGCGACGAUCCGUAGCUGGUCUGAGAGGAUGAUCAGCCACACUGGAACUGAGACACGGUCCAGACUCCUACGGGAGGCAGCAGUGGAGAAUAUUGGACAAUGGGCGCAAGCCUGAUCCAGCCAUACCGCGUGAGUGAAGAAGGCCUUCGGGUUGUAAAGCCCUUUUGUUGGGAAAGAAAAGCAGCAGGUUAAUACCCCGCUGUUCUGACGGUACCCAAAGAAUAAGCACCGGCUAACUUCGUG
rnacentral:rRNA from 1 species